UUGUCUCAAAGAUUAAGCCAUGCAUGUCUCAGUACAAGCCAAAUUAAGGUGAAACCGCGAAAGGCUCAUUAAAUCAGUUAUGGUUCCUUAGAUCGUACCCACAAUUACUUGGAUAACUGUGGUAAUUCUAGAGCUAAUACAUGCAAACAGAACUCCGACCGGAGACGGAAGGAGUGCUUUUAUUAGAUCAAAACCAAUCGGUGGCGAGUUGGUGACUCUGAAUAACUUUAUGCUGAUCGCACGGUCUUCGCACCGGCGACGCAUCUUUCAAAUGUCUGCCUUAUCAACUGUCGAUGGUAGGUUCUGCGCCUACCAUGGUCGUAACGGGUAACGGAGAAUCAGGGUUCGAUUCCGGAGAGGGAGCCUGAGAAACGGCUACCACAUCCAAGGAAGGCAGCAGGCGCGCAAAUUACCCACUCCCGGCACGGGGAGGUAGUGACGAAAAAUAACGAUACGGGACUCAUCCGAGGCCCCGUAAUCGGAAUGAGUACACUCUAAACUCUUUAACGAGGAUCAAUUGGAGGGCCAGUCUGGUGCCAGCAGCCGCGGUAAAACCAGCUCCAAUAGCGUAUAUUAAAGUUGUUGCGGUU
rnacentral:rRNA from 1 species